rnacentral:rRNA from 1 species
ACAGUGGACGCGAGCAUCUUUGUUGUAAGUGUUUAAGAGCGUACGGUGGAUGCCUUGGCACCAGGAGCCGAUGAAGGACGUAGGAGGCUGCGAUAAGCCUCGGGGAGCUGUCAACCGAGCUGAGAUCCGAGGAUGUCCGAAUGGGGAAACCCAGCCACAGUGAUGUGUGGUUACCCGCGCCUGAAUAUAUAGGGCGUGAGGAGGGAACGUGGGGAAGUGAAACAUCUCAGUACCCACAGGAAGAGAAAACAACAUGUGAUUCCGUGAGUAGUGGCGAGCGAAAGCGGAAGAGGCUAAACCAUGGGUGUGUGAUAGCCGGCGGGCGUUGCAUUCGUGGGGUUGUGGGAUCCGUCUUGUCAAUUCUGCCGGAUUGGCCGACAGUGAGAAAUCAUCGUGUUAGUCGAAGUGGUCUGGAACGGCCUGUCGUAGAGGGUGAGAGUCCCGUAGACGAAAACAUGGUGACUGUCGUGACGGACACCCGAGUAGCAGCGGGCCCGUGAAAUCUGCUGUGAAUCUGUCGGGACCACCCGAUAAGCCUGAAUACUCCCUGGUGACCGAUAGCGGACUAGUACCGUGAGGGAAAGGUGAAAAGUACCCCGGGAGGGGAGUGAAAUAGUACCUGAAACCGUGCGCUUACAAUCCGUCAGAGCCUGCGCCACUUCGGUGGGUGGGUGAUGGCGUGCCUUUUGAAGAAUGAGCCUGCGAGUUAGCGGCAUGUCGCGAGGUUAACCCGUGUGGGGUAGCCGUAGCGAAAGCGAGUCCGAAUAGGGCGUUUGUAGUGGCAUGUUCUAGACCCGAAGCGGAGUGAUCUACCCAUGGCCAGGGUGAAGCGACGGUAAGACGUCGUGGAGGCCCGAACCCACUUAGGUUGAAAACUGAGGGGAUGAGCUGUGGGUAGGGGUGAAAGGCCAAUCAAACUCCGUGAUAGCUGGUUCUCCCCGAAAUGCAUUUAGGUGCAGCGUCGCGUGUUUCACUCUGGAGGUAGAGCUACUGGAUGGCCGAUGGGCCCCACAAGGUUACUGACGUCAGCCAAACUCCGAAUGCCAGAGUGUGAGAGCGCGGCAGUGAGACUGCGGGGGAUAAGCUUCGUAGUCGAGAGGGAAACAGCCCAGAUCGCCGGCUAAGGCCCCUAAGCGUGUACUAAGUGGAAAAGGAUGUGGGGUCGCGAAGACAACCAGGAGGUUGGCUUAGAAGCAGCCACCCUUGAAAGAGUGCGUAAUAGCUCACUGGUCAAGUGAUCCUGCGCCGACAAUGUAGCGGGGCUCAAGUACACCGCCGAAGCCGCGGCAUUCACAUAACACCCAUGCGGGUCUACGGGCCUGUGUGCAGUGGUGUGGAUGGGUAGGGGAGCGUCGUGCAGCCAUGGAAGCGCCGGAGUGAUCCAGGUGUGGAGGCUGCACGAGUGAGAAUGCAGGCAUGAGUAGCGAAAGACGAGUGAGAAACUCGUCCGCCGAAUGACCAAGGGUUCCUGGGCCAGGUUAAUCCGCCCAGGGUGAGUCGGGACCUAAGGCGAGGCCGACAGGCGUAGUCGAUGGACAACGGGUUGAUAUUCCCGUACCCGUGUGAACGCGCCCCUGGUGAAUCAGUGAUGCUAAGCGCCCUGAAGCCGCCUUCGAACCUUCGGGUUCUCCGGUGUGUGGAUGCGCGUGAACCGAUCUGGUAGUAGCCAAGCGAUGGGGUGACGCAGGAAGGUAGCUGAGCCAGUCAGUGGUAAUACUGGUGUAAGCGUGUAGGGCGUGACCUAGGCAAAUCCGGGUCACAUACAGCCUGAGACGUGAUGCGUAGCCGAUUGAGGCGAAUUCAGUGAUCCUAUGCUGCCGAGAGAAAAGCCUCUAGCGAGCUUUCACACGGCCCGUACCCCAAACCGACACAGGUGGUCAGGUAGAGAAUACUAAGGCGAUCGAGAUAACUGUGGUUAAGGAACUCGGCAAAAUGCCCCCGUAACUUCGGAGAGAAGGGGGGCCUCGUCUGGUGACGGAACUUGCUUCCUGAGCUGGGUGGGGCCGCAGAGACCAGAGAGAAGCGACUGUUACUAAAAAACACAGGUCCGUGCGAAGUCGUAAGACGAUGUAUACGGACUGACGCCUGCCCGGUGCUGGAAGGUUAAGAGGACCGGUUAGCCAGUAAUGGCGAAGCUGAGAAUUUAAGCCCCAGUAAACGGCGGUGGUAACUAUAACCAUCCUAAGGUAGCGAAAUUCCUUGUCGGGUAAGUUCCGACCUGCACGAAUGGCGUAACGACUUCUCUGCUGUCUCAACCACAGACUCGGCGAAAUUGCAUUACGAGUAAAGAUGCUCGUUACGCGCGGCAGGACGAAAAGACCCCGGGACCUCACUAUAGCUUGGUAUUGUGUUCGGUUCGGUUUGUGUAGGAGGUAGGUGGGAGACUGUGAAGCGGGCACGCCAGUGUUCGUGGAGUCGUUGUUGAAAUACCACUCUGAUCGUAUUGGACAUCUAACCUCGGACCAUGAUCUGGUCAGGGACAGUGCCUGGUGGGUAGUUUAAUGGGGCGGUUGCCUCCCAAAAUGUAACGGAGGCGCCCAAGGUUCCCUCAGCCUGGUUGGCAAUCAGGUGUCGAGUGCAAGUGCACAAGGGAGCUUGACUGUGAGACUGACAGGUCGAGCAGGGACGAAAGUCGGGACUAGUGAUC